UACGUAGGGAGCGAGCGUUGUCCGGAUUCAUUGGGCGUAAAGAGCUCGUAGGCGGCUUGGCAAGUCGGGGGUGAAAACUCCAGGCUCAACCUGGAGACGCCACCCGAUACUGCCAUGGCUAGAGUCCGGUAGGGGACCACGGAAUUCCUGGUGUAGCGGUGAAAUGCGCAGAUAUCAGGAGGAACACCGGUGGCGAAGGCGGUGGUCUGGGCCGGAACUGACGCUGAGGAGCGAAAGCGUGGGGAGCGAACAGG
rnacentral:rRNA from 1 species